CAGCCGCCGCGGUAAUACGUAGGGUACAAGCGUUAAUCGGAAUUACUGGGCGUAAAGCGUGCGCAGGCGGUUAUAUAAGACAGAUGUGAAAUCCCCGGGCUCAACCUGGGACCUGCAUUUGUGACUGUAUAGCUAGAGUACGGUAGAGGGGGAUGGAAUUCCGCGUGUAGCAGUGAAAUGCGUAGAUAUGCGGAGGAACACCGAUGGCGAAGGCAAUCCCCUGGACCUGUACUGACGCUCAUGCACGAAAGCGUGGGGAGCAAACAGGAUUAGAUACCCCCGUAGUCCCUGUCUCUUAUAC
rnacentral:rRNA from 1 species